rnacentral:rRNA from 1 species
CACUCCUGCGGGAGGCAGCAGUGGGGAAUAUUGCACAAUGGGCGCAAGCCUGAUGCAGCCAUGCCGCGUGUAUGAAGAAGGCCUUCGGGUUGUAAAGUACUUUCAGCGGGGAGGAAGGCGAUAAGGUUAAUAACCUUGUCGAUUGACGUUACCCGCAGAAGAAGCACCGGCUAACUCCGUGCCAGCAGCCGCGGUAAUACGGAGGGUGCAAGCGUUAAUCGGAAUUACUGGGCGUAAAGCGCACGCAGGCGGUCUGUCAAGUCGGAUGUGAAAUCCCCGGGCUCAACCUGGGAACUGCAUUCGAAACUGGCAGGCUAGAGUCUUGUAGAGGGGGGUAGAAUUCCAGGUGUAGCGGUGAAAUGCGUAGAGAUCUGGAGGAAUACCGGUGGCGAAGGCGGCCCCCUGGACAAAGACUGACGCUCAGGUGCGAAAGCGUGGGGAGCAAACAGGAUUAGAUACCCGAGUAGUCCCA